AGUGAACGCUGGCGGUAGGCCUAACACAUGCAAGUCGAACGGCAGCACAGUAAGAGCUUGCUCUUACGGGUGGCGAGUGGCGGACGGGUGAGGAAUACAUCGGAAUCUACUUUUUCGUGGGGGAUAACGUAGGGAAACUUACGCUAAUACCGCAUACGACCUACGGGUGAAAGCAGGGGAUCUUCGGACCUUGCGCGAUUGAAUGAGCCGAUGUCGGAUUAGCUAGUUGGCGGGGUAAAGGCCCACCAAGGCGACGAUCCGUAGCUGGUCUGAGAGGAUGAUCGGGCACACUGGAUCUGAGACACGGUCCAGACUUCUACGCGAGGACGCAGUGGGGAAUAUUGGACAAUGGGGGCAAGGCUGAUCCAGCCAUACCGCGUGGGUGAAGAAGGAGUUCGGGUUGUAAAGCCAUUUUGUUGGGAAAGAAAAGCAGCAGGUUAAUACCCCGCUGGUCUGACGGUACCCAAAGAAUAAGCACCGGCUAACUUCGUG
rnacentral:rRNA from 1 species